rnacentral:rRNA from 1 species
UGACCGCAACGGGAGGACGAGGGCGCCUACCGGAAGUGGAGUCGAUGAUUGGGGUG